GCGUGGCCUAUCGAUCCUUUAGACCUUCG
rnacentral:ncRNA from 2 species